UGGGGAAUAUUGCACAAUGGGCGCAAGCCUGAUGCAGCAACGCCGCGUGAACGAUGAAGGUCUUCGGAUCGUAAAGUUCUGUUGCAGGGGAAGAUAAUGACGGUACCCUGUGAGGAAGCCCCGGCUAACUACGUGCCAGCAGCCGCGGUAAUACGUAGGUGGCAAGCGUUGUCCGGAAUUAUUGGGCGUAAAGCGUGCGCAGGUGGUUUAGAAAGUCUGAUGUGAAAGCCCACGGCUCAACCGUGGAGGGUCAUUGGAAACUAAUAAACUUGAGUGCAGGAGAGAAAAGUGGAAUUCCUAGUGUAGCGGUGAAAAGCGUAGAGAAUAGGAGGAACACCGGUGGCGAAAGCCGCUUUUUGGCCUGCAACUGACACUGAGGCGCGAAAGCGUGGGGAGCAAACAGG
rnacentral:rRNA from 1 species